AUGACCGCCAUGGUUCGUUUCGUCUUCGUCGUGUUAUUUACAGCCACUGUUUUCCAACAUGUGGUGUCCAUGUCAGUGCCAGAAAUAUAUGAAAAUUACCCGUGUGCUGGAGGUCUGCAAAGUCUAACGUCUGAGCAUGCAAGACUGGCCGAGGACUGUGAACAGAUUUGGAGUAUUGGGAGCAGCCCCAUAGGAAGAAUCUGGAACGGAAGUGCUGAGUGCCACAGACCAUGCAGUCAGGUGACUGUGGGUGAAAUUGUUGUCAGCAAGUGCGUCAAUAUCACACUGACCAUUUUAUGUGUGGAGGAUUAUAUGACUGAAUAUCGGAUUCAUUUUAAAGGCAUCAACCCUUCGCCACAAAUUCAGCCCAAGAACAGAGCACGCUAUGGUUUCUAUGCAAGUGUUGCUGUCCUUGGUACCCUGCUUUCAGUGGCUUUGGUGGGACUGUUCCACUGCUACAGAUCUCACCACCAUGGCUCCAGAAACACCGAAGUGAUUCAACUUUAAUUAUACAAUGUUAGCCUACACACUAUGUUAAUAUGCAUAAAAAAUACCUUUAUUUAUUUAUUUAUAUAUAUAUAUGUAUAUGUAUGUAUAUGUAUAUAUAUGUAUAAUAUAUAUAAGUAUAUAUAUAUAUUAGGGGUGGCAACUGGUGUAAAAGUAGAGGAGGCAGUGGAUAGGGCAAGGUGGAGGCAGAGCGGUUGGUUUUGUGGUACGUUAAAUCUGAACGAGAGAAAGUGGAACGGGAAAAUUCGAACGAGAAGCAACUUCAGCCUCGUAAAACAGCCGAACAACAAGAGACAUUUUACAAGAAGCUGCUCUACUUCUGAGAGGGAAAGGGGAGGAAAGCGGCUAUAGGUAAAGCUUAAAUCAGAGCAAAGUAAAUCCGUGUUUUCGUUUAUAUUUUUUAGCCUAUAGUAGCACAUUCGAACACACUCAGACAUACUGGGCAUUAAAUGUCUCCCGGUGUGGCUUGAUUUUUGUUUAAAGGACAAAACAUUUAGGCUGUGACUCCUGACUGAACCUGGCUUUAAUGCAGAGCCAGUCAGAUUUCUCACUCAUCCAGCUGUGUUCUUGUUAUGUGCCGUCACAGACUGUCCAGGUGCUGCACUUAUCCACUUCCAACUUCUGCCUUUUACAUUCCGUCAACACUACGGUAUAAAUUAAAUAUUUAGAAAAUCGGUUUUUGACAUUUAUGAAUCGAUUCAGAAUCGUUCACAUCCGCUUUGCGAUGCAUCGAAGAAUCGAGUUUUUCUUGCAUCCUUUUAUAUAUGUGUAUAUAUAUAUAUAGUCCAUUUUAUGAGCUCCACUUACUAUAUAGGUGCACUUUGUAGUUCUACAGUUACAGACUGUAGUCCAUCUGUCUGUCUGCACACUUUACUAGCUCCUUUUCACGCUGUUCUUCAGUGGUAAGGACCCCCAGAUGACCACCACAAAGCAAGUAUUAUUUGGGUGGUGGAUCACUCUCAGCACUGCAAUGACACAGACAUGGCGGUGGUGUGUUAGUGCAGCAGUGCUGCUGGAGUUUUUAAACAACUCAAUUUAUAGUCCACCAGCCAAAAAUAUCCAGCAAACAGUGCCCUGUGGGCAGUGUCCUGUGACCACUGAUGAAGGACUAGAAGAUGAGCAACAGAAACUGUGCAGCAGCAGAUGUGCUAUCGUCUCUGACUUUACAUCUACAAGGUGGACUGACAAGGUAGGUGUGUGUAAUAGAGUGGACAGUGAGUGGACAUUUUGUGUAUGUUUGAUUUUAUAGAAAAACUAAAUAAUACAUUUGAAGCUGUGGAAGCAUCAUAUAAUAUAAUAUAUAAAAGUAUAGUAUAAAUUUAAAAUAAAAGAUUCAAUAUAAAUAAAAUUAAAUGAAAUAUAGAAAUACUUAUGGAUGCU
ensembl:lncRNA